AUACGGAGGAUCCGAGCGUUAUCCGGAUUUAUUGGGUUUAAAGGGUGCGCAGGCGGGAGAUUAAGUCGGCGGUGAAAUUUUGCAGCUCAACUGUAAAAGUGCCUUCGAAACUGGUUUCCUUGAGUGUGGAUGAAGUAGGCGGAAUUUGUGGUGUAGCGGUGAAAUGCAUAGAUAUCACGAGGAACUCCGAUUGCGCAGGCAGCUUACUAAACCAUAACUGACGCUCAGGCACGAAGGCGUGGGGAUCAAACAGGAUUAGAUACCCUGGUAGUCCACGCAGUAAACGAUGAUUACUAGCUGUUUGCGAUACAAUGUAAGCGGCUGAGCGAAAGCGUUAAGUAAUCCACCUGGGGAGUACGUUCGCAAGAAUGAAACUCAAAUGAAUUGGCGGGG
rnacentral:rRNA from 1 species